rnacentral:tRNA from 1 species
GGAUUCUGGCUCAGCGGUAGAGUGCUCGCCUAGCAUGUGCAAGGCCUUGGGUUCGAUCCUCAACACCA